UCACAAUUUAGUGCUAAAUAUGGAUUCGAAUUUUAAGAAUUUUAAAUAUAUGCAGUUGCACCAAGUACUAUUAAAAUUACAACCCCUUAAACAGUACUAUGAUGAUAGCGGGCAUAAAAACACUUUCAAGACACAGGAAGAUGUGCAAAAGAUCUGUGGAGACUUUUUAAAGGCACUCAAAAAAGAUUUGAGUCUUGAGGAAAUAACGUCUUUAUAUUCCGCAGCCAUAAUGCUGCUUAUACUAGGAGAUCCUGAAAUACAAAAUCAGCGGCUCGAACUCUUGAACGAUUGUUUCAAUUAUUCAGACAUGUUAAAGCCAACAAUGAUUGAUUAUGCCACUCGUGAAUUACUUGAUAACUUAAAAUUCGCUGCAAGCCUUGCUGAGAACCAUACUGACUAUGAUUAUAUGCUUUAUUUAUUAUGGGCAAUACCGCAUAUAAUCACAGCAAGUGAAACGGGAAAAAUGAUAUCACUGGGCCUUUUACGCGCUUUUAUAGCCGAGUUGACGAGUUCGAGCCCAGUUGUCAUGCAUAUAUAUCGAAAUUCUGGCAAAUGUUUAAAACCCUAAAGGUGGAGGCAAUACUAGACGAAUGGACACUGAAAAAAACAUACACAUUGGUUAAGAGCUUUGCAUUAAUAUUGGCAGCAGCUGCGUUGAACAGUAACAAUGCGGCAUUAAAGCAAGCCGGGUACCGGGGCUUUGAGUUGCCCCAAGCAGAGACUUGCACUGAAAUUUCGGAGUGGUUCAAGAUCCUCAGAAACAAGCUAGAAGAGAAGCACAAGGCAGACAAAUGCAAAGCAGGCUUGAUGUUGGUACGCUUUAUUG
rnacentral:misc_RNA from 1 species